rnacentral:hammerhead_ribozyme from 1 species
AUCCAGCUGACGAGUCCCAAGUAGGAGGAAGUGUGCAUCCUGGAU